rnacentral:lncRNA from 1 species
UUUCUUGUUUUUAUAUAUUCUCGUGAAAAAUGUAAUACUUUUAAAAUAUUAUAUUUCUUCGUAUCAUUAAUUACUUUUUCUAACGACAAUAAUUACUUGAACAAAUAACUAAAAAUAUAGGUUCUCUUGAGUAAAAAUAGCAAUUAUCGUGAACAAAUAUUUCAAAAUUAUUAUAAUUAUUUAUUAUAAUUGUUAAUUACUUU